UACAGAGGUCUCAAGCGUUGUUCGGAUUCAUUGGGCGUAAAGGGUGCGUAGGUGGCGCGCUAAGUCAGGUGUGAAAUCUCGGAGCUUAACUCCGAAACUGCAUUCGAUACUGCCGUGCUUGAGGACUGGAGAGGAGACUGGAAUUUACGGUGUAGCGGUGAAAUGCGUAGAUAUCGUAAGGAAGACCAGUGGCGAAGGCGGGGUCUCUGGACAGUUCCUGACGCUGAGGCACGAAGGCCAGGGGAGCAAACGGG
rnacentral:rRNA from 1 species